rnacentral:rRNA from 1 species
UCGGGAAUUUUGGGCAAUGGGCGAAAGCCUGAUCCAGCAACGCCGCGUGAGGGAUGAAGUAUUUCGGUAUGUAAACCUCGAAAGAAUGGGAAGAAUAAAUGACGGUACCAUUUAUAAGCUCCGGCUAACUACGUGCUAGCAGCCGCGGUAAUACGAAGGGAGCACGCGUUGUUUGGAUUUACUGGGCGUAAAGGGCGCGUAGGCGGCGCGGUAAGUCACUUGUGAAAUCUCUGAGCUUAACUCAGAACGGCCAAGUGAUACUGCUGUGCUAGAGUGCGGAAGAGGCAACCUGAAUUCUUGGUGUAGCGGUGAAAUGCGUAGAUAUCAAGAGGAACACCUGAGGCGAAGGCGGGUUGCUGGGCCGACACUGACGCUGAUGCGCGAAAGCCAGGGGAGCAAACG